CGGACGGGUGAGUAACGCGUGAGGAAUCUGCCGAGAAGUGGGGGAUAGCUCGCCGAAAGGCGAAUUAAUACCGCAUAUGGUCAGUGAAGACAUCUUCACAACACCAAAGCCGGGGCAACCUGGCGCUUCUUGAUGACCCCGCGGCCUAUCAGCUAGUUGGUGAGGUAACGGCUCACCAAGGCUAUGACGGGUAGCUGGUCUGAGAGGACGACCAGUCACACUGGAACUGAGACACGGUCCAGACACCUACGGGUGGCAGCAGUCGAGAAUUUUUCACAAUGGGGGCAACCCUGAUGGAGCGACGCCGCGUGGAGGAUGAAGGCUUUCGGGUUGUAAACUCCUGUCAUUUGAGAACAAGGUGCAUCGAUUAACUGUCGAUGCAUUGAUAGUAUCAGAAGAGGAAGAGACGGCUAACUCUGUGCCAGCAGCCGCGGUAAUACAGAGGUCUCAAGCGUUGUUCGGAUUCAUUGGGCGUAAAGGGUGCGUAGGUGGCGGGGUAAGUCAGGUGUGAAAUUUCGGAGCUCAACUCCGAACUGCAUUUGAUACUGCCUUGCUUGAGGACUGGAGAGGAGACUGGAAUUCACGGUGUAGCAGUGAAAUGGGAUUAGAUACCCCAGUAGUC
rnacentral:rRNA from 1 species